rnacentral:rRNA from 1 species
UACGUAGGGUGCAAGCGUUGUCCGGAAUUAUUGGGCGUAAAGAGCUCGUAGGCGGUCUGUCGCGUCGGCUGUGAAAACUCGGGGCUCAACUCCGAGCUUGCAGUCGAUACGGGCAGGCUAGAGUUCGGCAGGGGAGACUGGAAUUCCUGGUGUAGCGGUGAAAUGCGCAGAUAUCAGGAGGAACACCGGUGGCGAAGGCGGCGCUCUGGACCGAGACUGACGCUGAGGCGCGAAAGCGUGGGGAGCAAACAGG